rnacentral:rRNA from 1 species
GGCACGCCUGCCCAGUGAACAAUUAAACGGCCGCGGUACCCUAACCGUGCAAAGGUAGCGUAAUCAUUUGUCUAUUAAUUGUAGACCAGUAUGAAAGGCAAAAUGAGGAUCUCCCUGUCUCUUAUAAUAAAUCAAUUAAACUGAUCUCCUAGUAAAAAAGCUAGAAUCCACACAUAAGACCAGAAGACCCUGUGAAGCUUAAACUAAACUAUUAAACCAUAUAAUAGAUACUUUCGGUUGGGGCGACCUUGGAAAAAAAUAGAACUUCCAAACACACUGACUAUAACUCACAAUAAUUUUAGGCCUACAAGCCUAUACAAACGACCCAGCAUAGCUGAUAAUUGAACCAAGUUACUCCAGGGAUAACAGCGCCAUCUUCUUUAAGAGCCCAUAUCAAAAAGAAGGUUUACGACCUCGAUGUUGGAUCAGGACAUCCUAAUGGUGCAGCCGCUAUUAAGGGUUCGUUUGUUCAACGAUUAAUAGUCCUACGUGAUCUGAG